UCUACAUGCCUGUGCUAGGAUUAAAGGCGUGAGCCACAUACUACUGUCUUACUCACUCUGUCUCACCCAUAGUGAAGCCAAAAGCUUACUCACGACAUAAAAUUUUAAAACUUUUAACUGACCAAGUCCUUAAUUUGAUAGCAGAACUACUAUAAAAAAAAAAGUCCCUCUUGUAACAAGAAGACUCAACACUGCUUGAACUGACAGACAGGAAAAUCAGUUUCAAAAGUGGAUCAGCAAGCACAGGGCAUAUCGGGGCAUUAGUAUCUGUCAAUAGACAGACCUGGCCUCAAGUCUACACUUCUCACAUCAAAACUGGAAACAUGCAAAUCAUUUGCAACAACAUUCUUUGGCAGAGACUUGCGCUUUCCUUAGUGUCUGUCAUCUGUUUACAGGGGAGGGACACACACAUGAACUACUUUCCAGGGCCAGGUGUAGGUCUAGCACCUGUGUGAACGUGAGGAAAGAUCAACCUGAGAAUUCCCUGUUGUGGGCUUGGAGCCACUGUUCUUUUGGGUUUUCCCUAGAUUAGCCGAAAUCUGUAAGAACGAACAGUGCAAUCCAAAUCCCUUCCCUUCUUGAAGUUCUUUUUCUCAGGUAUGCCACAGCAAUGAAAGCAGACUAAGCAGCGGAGACUGCAGGGUUGUUUUUAGGGUUAACAGAAGCUCCCCUGGAGUGCUCCGUGAGAGCCGCUGGAAGACAGGACUCAUUUUCCAGAUUCUGGUUCUCAAACUAUGUGGACAGAUGCACAGCCUGAGAAGAUGCUAGAAGUCAGCUAAGUCCACUCUCAAUGGAGAAACUCUACCUCAAUACAGCUAUUUUGGAAAAUGUCACCUUUUCUUUUCUUUGAAGGUAUCUGGGAGCCUUCUAACGGUCAACUUUUGGACAUUUUUCCCUGACACUCACUCUCUAGAUGACAUCACUUGGCACACUGCCUGGCCCUGGUAGACUGAACUUGGAGACAAGCUACAGAGCAUCAUGAGGACUUGGAGGCAAGCUACAGAGCAAAACCCUGUCUCAACCAACCAACCAAACAAACAAACAAAAAGUUUUCAAGGGGUGGGGUCGAAAUGAGGUCAAAUACAAAGGACUUCUCCAGAGCAGCCCUGGAAGCUGGAAGACUGACAGCAGAGCAAUCCUCUCACCACUCUAAAGAGAAGGCUCUUCUCACCUGCAGUACUGUGUUGUGAAGUGCAGGCAGAACAGACUUUGUCACACACUUUACAUCUCACAGAUCUGCUCCUUCGGAAGGCACUAGAAGAUGAGUUCUAUCACAACCUAAAAAUAAAUCUAGAAAAAGGAAGUUCCAGAGGUCCACAAAAGGACAGAAGGAAGUCCCAGAACAAAGCUGACAGAAUGAAGACCAAAGAAUUGAGCAAGAGAAGGACAGGCUCUAGAAGGAAUCAGAGGAAGGUGGGCAGACUGCAGAAUGCCGGGGCUGGGAUUAUGGUUUGAUGCUAGAAUGCUUGUCUAGUAUUAUAUAUAUAUAUAUAAAUUUUAGCUAGGCAGUGGUGGCACAUGCCUUUAAUCCCAGCAAUUGGGAGGCAGAGGUAGGCAGAUCUCUGUGUG